rnacentral:rRNA from 1 species
UGUGUAUAAGAGACAGGCGUAAUAGCUCACUGGUCGAGUGAUCCUGCGCCGAAAAUUUCCGGGGCUAAAACGUACUACCGAAGCUACGGCAUCAUUUAUGAUGGGUAGGGGAGCUUCGUAUGCAGGCUGAAGCAUGACCGUAAGGACAUGUGGACAGUAUACGAGUGAGAAUGUUGGCAUGAGUAGCGAGACGUGGGUGAGAAUCCCACGGGCCGUAAACCCAAGGUUUCCAGGGGAAGGUUCGUCCGCCCUGGGUUAGUCGGGACCUAAGCCGAGGCCGAAAGGCGUAGGUGAUGGACAACAGGUUGAUAUUCCUGUACCGCCAAUAAGCGUUUGAGAGAUGGAGUGACACAGUAGGAUAAGCUAACCGUACUGUUGGUUAUGUACGGCUAAGCAUUGAGGCAGUCUAAAUAGGCAAAUCCGUUUAGACAAUGCUAGGAUGUGAUGGGGAAGCCCUUCGGGGCGAAGUAGCUGAUUUCACACUGUCAAGAAAAGCUUCUAUCGAGUUUAAAGGCGCCCGUACCGUAAACCGACACAGGUGGGUGAGGAGAGUAUCCUAAGGCCAGCGAGAGAACUAUUGUUAAGGAACUCGGCAAAAUGACCCCGUAACUUAGGGAGAAGGGGUGCCUGUCUAUGACAGGCCGCAGAGAAUAGGCCCAAGCGACUGUUUACCAAAAACACAGGUUUCUGCUAAGUCGCAAGACGAUGUAUAGGAGCUGACGCCUGCCCGGUGCUGGAAGGUUAAGGGGAUCUGUUAGAGCAAUCGAAGCAGUGAACUUAAGCCCCAGUAAACGGCGGCCGUAACUAUAACGGUCCUAAGGUAGCGAAAUUCCUUGUCGGGUAAGUUCCGACCCGCACGAAAGGCGUAAUGAUUUGGGCACUGUCUCGACAAUGCACCCGGUGAAAUUGAAAUACCAGUGAAGAUGCUGGUUACCUGCGCCAGGACGGAAAGACCCCAUGGAGCUUUACUCCAGCUUGAUACUGGGAUUCGGUACUACCUGUACAGGAUAGGUGGGAGGCUUCGAUCACGGGACGCCAGUUUCGUGUGAGCCGCUGUUGGGAUACCACCCUUGUAGUACUGGAUUCCUAACCUACAGCCGUGAACCGGCUGGGGGACAAUGUCUGGCGGGGAGUUUGACUGGGGCGGUCGCCUCCGAAAGGGUAUCGGAGGCGCUCAAAGGUUCCCUCAGAAUGGUUGGAAACCAUUCGAAGAGUGCAAAGGCAGAAGGGAGCUUGACUGCGACACCGACGGGUGGAGCAGGUACGAAAGUAGGACUUAGUGAUCCGGUGGUAUAAAGUGGGAUUGCCAUCGCUCAACGGAUAAAAGCUACCCUGGGGAUAACAGGCUUAUCACUCCCAAGAGUUCACAUCGACGGAGUGGUUUGGCACCUCGAUGUCGGCUCAUCGCAUCCUGGGGCUGUAGUAGGUCCCAAGGGUUGGGCUGUUCGCCCAUUAAAGC